rnacentral:rRNA from 1 species
UAUCUCUGUAGAGUCUGCAUAUCAAUAAGCGGAGGAAAAGAAACUAACAAGGAUUCCCUUAGUAACGGCGAGUGAAGCGGGAAGAGCUCAAAUUUGAAAUCUUCAAGGUUCUACCUUGACGAAUUGUAGUUUAAAGAAGUGUUUUCUGUUAGAUGAGUAGCAAAAGUUCCUUGGAAUGGGACAUCAUAGAGGGUGAGAAUCCCGUAUUUGGUUAUUCAUUCUAGCUUUGUGAUACACUUUCGAAGAGUCGGAUUGUUUGGGAAUGCAGUCCAAAAUGGGUGGUAAAUUUCAUCUAAAGCUAAAUAUUGGCGAGAGACCGAUAGCGAACAAGUACCGUGAGGGAAAGAUGAAAAGAACUUUGAAAAGAGAGUUAAACAGUACGUGAAAUUGUCAAAAGGGAAGCGUUUGACACCAGUGUUGUUUUUCCGAAAAUCAAUUACGAAUGGCUUGAUUUUGUGUUGUAUUGACCUUAUCAGCUUUCUUCACUUUUUUCGAGUCUUUCUUAAUGCACUUUUCGGUUAACAAGUCAACAUCAAUUUCUUUUGUUGUAAAAGAGUAUUCGGAAGGUGGCUUUCUUUUCGGAGAAAGUGUUUAUAGCCCUAUACUUCUACAAUCGGAGAGAUUGAGGUCUGCAGCGUAGAUCCUUCGGGGUUAGAUACACUUGUGCUAAGUUGUAGCUUUUCAUAGACAACUUGUUGACUAUGUUUAGUCAUGCGGCUUACUCGCUUGUGCUAUUUUACCUACGCUUAGGAUGUUGACUGAUAUGUAGUCGUA